UUUAUUCUCUUCUUUUUAUAUGUGUUUUUUAAUAGUUCUGAAAUUAAUAUAAUAUUACUCAUUAUUCUUGACCAACAUGUAAUUUUUUCGAAGGAAGCCAAGAUGUAAAGGCUUCAAGUUUAGAUUCUUGACAGCGCUUCCUUUAUUUGGUGGGGAUUGUAAGAAUGAAGCACCACUUCAUCACUCUAAAAAAAUCUUCCAAUUCCGGGAAAAAA